AUACGGAGGGGGUUAGCGUUGUUCGGAAUUACUGGGCGUAAAGCGCACGUAGGCGGACUGGAAAGUUGGGGGUGAAAUCCCGGGGCUCAACCCCGGAACUGCCUCCAAAACUUCCAAUCUAGAGAUCGAGAGAGGUGAGUGGAAUUCCGAGUGUAGAGGUGAAAUUCGUAGAUAUUUGGAGGAACACCAGUGGCGAAGGCGGCUCACUGGCUCGAUACUGACGCUGAGGUGCGAAAGCGUGGGGAGCAAACAGGAUUAGAAACCCGAGUAGUCC
rnacentral:rRNA from 1 species